rnacentral:rRNA from 1 species
AUGGUGGCGGCGGCCGGAGCACCAACGGCGGCGAGGACGAAGCAGGGGCGACUGAGGUCGCAGGUGAUCCGGGCGGCGCAGGGUCUUGCGGCUCGGCGAGCGAUGCGUGCAACGAGGAGGAGGGAGCUCGUGCUCCUGCAUCCAGGACGAGGCGCCGUCGGGGACUCCGAUGCGAAAUCCAUGGAGGCCGGCGCAUCGUGUUCUCCCUGUGAGAGAAAACAGAGAGGUGGAGGGAGUGAGAGGGAGAAGAACCAGAGGAGGAAGGGAAGGAAGAGGUGGCGCGACGAGGCCGGCCUGAGGACGGGGUCGCCGGCUGGCAGGUUCGCCGGGGCGGUGCGGCGUUGGAUGAGCUCGGCCUCGGGAGAGCUCAAGUGCGGUUGUGCUGGAUGGAUGAAUCGGUUUGGUUGGAUGGAAACGAGAGAGGAUGCGGGAUUGGCCAGAUGGGGAAUUCAAGGAAGAGGAGGUGGGUGGAUCGGGGAGGAUCCUGAUGAGGGUGUGGCGGCGGCCAAAAGGGAAAGAUGGGACAAGUGCCCUCGGUUUUAG